rnacentral:siRNA from 1 species
AGCGACACCUCCUUUGAGAAUGAG